GGGAACUGUAGUCUUUCCACCUGUCUAGGAAGUGGAAAAGGAACUAGGAUUCGGAGUAUGUUUGGCUUUGGCUCCGCCCCAGCCUCCUGACGUUCAAGUCAUGUUUUCUGAGGAUCUCUGGAGCUGCCAUGUUGAGAACAGCAUGAAGGGGCUAACAGCAUAAGCUGGGAGAGACAGGAGGCUACUGCAGUAAUCCAGGCUAGAGGUGAUGGUGGCUUGGACCAGAAGGGGGUCGGAUUCUGGAUGUAUUCUGAAGGCAGAGUCGGCUGCAUUUACUGAUUGGAUAAGCAUGAGAGCUGGUCCUGCUACCAGGUGUCCUGGAAACCCAGAGGGUUGAUGGGGAGGCCAGGGAAGCACAACAAGAUGUUGCCCACAACCAUCCUGAGGUCUGAUCUGGAUGAGCAGUGCCUUCUCUACCACCUGCCAUCACAUGCAUGGAGAUCACAGACUUACCAUGUCUUGAUUGUAUAAAAAGUACAAGUGACUUCAGAUCUGAUGAAUCCUGAGUGGCGUGGAGGGACAAGGGAAUAUUGUAUCUGAAGAAGCCGGAUGGUUGGUUGUGUUCAGAUUGUAAAGGAAUUGCCAGAACUGGAGGAGCCUUUAGGGACCUUACAGUUGAAGCCCUUUGUUUCUGUGAGUGAGAGGAAAGGCCAUAUGAGGACACAGCAAGGAGGUGGUGGUCGCCUGCAAGCCAGGAAGAGAGCUCUCACCAGAAACUGACCAUGGUGGCACCCUGACCUUGGACUUAAGCAGCCAACAAAACUUUUUUUGCAGAUAAGCCGCCAGAAGAUCCUCCUCCCUCUGCUUGGAGUUACUUGCAGUGCUUUGGAAGCAGGACAUGGGUCCCAGUGAAAUACACCGUGCUGAAAACACUCUGGUCAAGUCUGGCCCUCGACACUACCCUCCACAUUCCAACAGCCACGUUGGCUCACCAGGAAGAGAAGCUGGAGGUGUUUUGACUGACUCAGUGCUGAAAUCAGGCUAGCAGAGACAGUGAUUAGAGAGAGAGCGCCUUUCGUUGGUGCUCUUGGGAGCACAGCAGCUGUGCUCACUAAGAAAGGUAGAAAUCAAAGAAUCUUAGAAUCCUCGGGGUGGAGGGGACAUUAAGGAGCCUCAGUUCAGACCUCCAUUCCGUGAAGGAAGCUGGCCAGAAAGCUGCCAGCUGGUUGGAUGAGAACUCCCUGCUCAUAAAGGCAGCCCAGUCCACGGCUUCGUUGGGUCCUGAUUAGAAUCUCUCAAGGCUGCACUUAACAUUCCUUUCUGGAGCUUGGGGUUUAUUUUAGUCAAUUCAGGUGCUGUAACAACAUACCAUAGACUGGGUGGCUUAUAAACAACAGAAAUUGAUUCCUCACAGUUCUGGAGGCUGGAAGGUCCAAUAUCAAGGUGCCAGCAGAUUCAGUAUCUCAUGAGAUCCCUCCUCCUGGUUCAUAGAUGCUGUAUUACCGCUAUGUCCUCACAUGGUGAAAGGGGUGAGGGAGCUCUCUGGGGUCUCUUUUAUAAGGGCACUAAUCCCAUUCAUGAGGGCUCCACGCUCAUGAACUAAUUACCUCCUAAAGGCUCCAACCCCAAUACCAUACCAUUGGGGAUUAAGAUUAUAACGUGAAUUUGGGGGUGGGGCAUUGCACGAUCCUCUCCCAAGAUCAUGUGCUUAUUGGCUGAAUCCAGUUCCUUGAAGUUGUAAGGCUGAAGUCCCUGCUUUCCUGCUGUCUGUCAGCCUGGGGCUGAUCUCAGGUCCUAGAAGCCACUACAAUUUCUUGCCAUGUGACCCUCUCACAACAUGGCAGCUCAUUUCUUGAAACCCAGCAGGGGAAAUUCUUGAUCCAGUCUGCUAAGAUGGAGUCUUAUAUAAUGUAAUGUGAUCGUGGAGUGACUAUCCCAUCACCCUUGCCAUAUUCUCUUGGCUAUAUGCAGGUCACAGAUUCCACUUGUACUCAAGAAGAGGGGGUUAUACGAAGACACGACUAAUUGAGGGUCACCUUAAUGUGUGUCUGCCACACAGAUACAUGAUUAAGGUUUACAUUUUUUUUUAAUAAGAAAGACUUUGGUAUAUCAUAUUCCAAAACAAAAUCUUUUGGGUAGCACUGAGUUUCAAACAUCAGAGUUAACAAAUUUUAAUUUCAGCAGGGCUAAGGAGCUUUAAGGUAGAAGUCAUAGUUAUAAGUCAUAGAUAUAGGAUAUAGAUGGAGAAGUCAGAGGUAUAAGACAUAAGAGUUCAGAACAAGUAAGAGCUGAGAUUGAUGGGCAAGUAGAAGAGGAUGGUGAUUUGGAUUUUCUCAAAUAGCUGUUCAGGUUCCUGACUGUAUCAGUUAUCUGCUGAUGUAUAACAAACUUCCCCAAACUUUGUGACCUAAAGUAGCCACCAAUUACUAUUGCUCCUGACUCUAUGCUUCAGCUGGGUCGUUCUGGUUUCAGCAGUCUUCCUCAUCUGCCCGCAAUCAGCUGAAGGUCACUAGGUGGAGGUUGGCUGGUGUUCCUUGGUUUUCUUCCACAUGGUCUCCCAUCCUCCAGCAGGCUAGCCUGGGCUUGUUCACGUAGCAGUCACGGGUUUCCCAAGGGAGAGCACAGGUGUGCAAGGGCUCCUGAGGUCUUGACUCGGAACUGGUAACCCAUUGCUCUCACCACAUUCCAUUGGCCUGAGCAGGUCAUGAGGCUGGUCAGAUAAAAAGCACCAGUGAAACAGGUUCCCUUCUUCUGAUGGGAAGAGCCUCAAAGUGAUGCCGGAAAGUGGCCAGAUUCAGGGAGGAGUGAAGAACUGGGGUGGCUAUUUUUGCAGUUGACUACGAUGACUCACGCAUAUGUGUGUGGUUAAAGUUGGCUGUCUAUGUAGGGAACAUGGGGCAGGAAGAAAAGCUAGAUAAUUGAAAAAAAUUAAGGUUGUACAACACCUCAUUAAAUAAAAGUUAAUUUGCUGAAAGUGUUAUCAAUGCUUCUCCUACAGUCUUCUCUAAAUCCCUGGAACCAAUCUGGGAAGGACAGAGAGACAUACAGUCAGGUUUCACCCACCCAAGCUUGCAUGAUGGCCUUUACAGGAUGCCUGUGAUGAGGGGAUUAGCCUCCAGGACACAGGUGCUCAUCGAAGUCUGGGGACUAGUACAGGCUGGUGGGGAGAUGAGAGACUCUUUUAAGUAGUCAGCAAGUUGAGACAGCAGGGCAGGAGAGGACCCAGAGAUUCAAACUCAGGGUUGGAAACUAGAUAAUUAGGUAAGAUGACGUUUGAAUAGGUCAAAGUCUGGAUUCUUGUAAACACCAAGUAACCACCAUAUUGUUUUUCCUAUAUGUGACCUGUAGCAUUUUGCUGUGCUGGGGACACCUGCUAAGGUUCCAGUGUGAUCCUAAAUAAUAACUUGGCAUCUCAGGACUUUUAAAAGGCAUAUUAAGUUCUUAAUAUAGUGCCUGGCCCAUAGCUCUCAACAAAUGAUUGCCAUUAUGCUAUUAUUACUAUUUUUGUUUAGCUACAAUUUUGCAUAUUGAAUUUUUUGGUUUUCACCCCUCUCUUUAUCAAGAUGCUCUGUCCCCGUGAGCACUGCUGUCAGUCAGGUGAGUGGGAACCCAGCUUGAGGAAACAGCUGGGAGGGGGUGGAAUGGAGGUGGCGGAAUACGAACACAUUCUGUAUCCUUCCUAAAAAUGGCUCUCAUGGGAGAAAAUUACUAAUCACUGCCAUUCUUCUGCAUCUGGUGUUAAUUAUUCCAGGUAAAGAACACUAAAAAUGGAGUGUUAAGUUCUUAAUUUAGAGUAUUUGGGUGUGGGGGGGUUGGAGUUAUUCAUUUUAUUAGUCACUAUCCAAGGCUUUGAAAAGAGAAGUUCUGAUGUUGAAGGAAAUAUAGAUCACUUGGGUUAUGAGGCUUUUCUUUUGAAUACCCUUGCCCUGGAUUUAGAAACAGGUGGGCCCUUGCAGGUUUUUUAGGUGUUUGGUGUGCUCUAAUAUGAGAGAGGAAUGAGGGUAAGUAACCAAGAUGAACUUCAUACUCACACGGACUAUUGCAGUCGCCUUCUAAUCAGUCUCCUGCUUCCACUCUAUUCCCCUCCAACCCUUUCUCCGUAUGGUUGCCAGAGUGGUUCUCUUAAAAUCAGAUGUUGACAUUUCAUCAAAAGCAGAUUUCCAUUACACUGGGUGAAAUCUCAUUUCUUACUUAGGACUUCAGAGCAUGGUCUUGUACUCACAUCUUCAAAUGCAUCUCUUGUCUCCUCUUUGUUGACUAAGCUCCAGCCAUAUUGGUUUCCUUUUAGCUUGUUUCUGCACCUGCAAUGCUUCCUCUCAUAAUUCCCUCCUUUUUAUCCCUUGGGUCUCAGCCUAAAUCAUCUUCCUAUAGAGGUUUUCCCUAAUCACCAUUUUAAAAGCAGAACCUCCUUAAGACAUAAGAACUUUUGUUCUUUUCAAUUCCUUGAUUAGUGACUCAUAACAUGAACAGCCCUACCUCCCCACAAACGCUUUAAAUUUCCCCAGCCAGUCGUUUUUCUCUCCUAAAUAGACAGUAGUGAUAUCAAUGGAUAAGUAUUUUAUUUGUUAAAUUGUACAGUGCCUUUCUAUCCCCCUCUCCUGUGGCCAGAGCUUCCUAUCAUGAACCAGGUUCUGCCAGGCCCAUCCAGUCAUAAGGUUGAGCAGGCCCAGGAAGAAUCAUCACACAGUGAGGGCGGGAUCAGGCUUGAGCAAGUUCAGGGAGCAGAAGUAAGUUACAUAAAGCCUGUGUCAUCUAUCGCUGACGCUGUCACGUGGAACCCAGGUCCAUGCUGCUGCUACGCAGGAUUUUGUGUUAGUGACUCAUUUCCUUUGUAAACUCCCAGAUUGUGAUGCUGUCCUGCAUCUUCUGGAUGAGAAAGGCACAUAUCCAGAGAGAUGGGAUUCCAUCGUAAGCGUCAGCGUAGUACUUGGCAAAUAGAAAUCACUUAGUAAAUCUUAGCUACACGGAUACUUUCUCCAUCACAUGUAACUAUCAAAAUGGCCCCCUGCCCUGGAGCAGGUAGAAUUGACUGACUCUAUCUGUCCUCCCUGUCGGUGGUUGUUAAUACGUUUUUCUGCUGAGAUUUUCCGACGGACGAUGCCAGAUAACAUAAUGGCGGAGUCGAUGGUUUAAAAUUGCCCACUGUAUUUCCAACAUAAGAAGCAGAGUGCUCCCGCAUGAAAAGGAGCCCACGGUGUGGAUCUCUUUUUCUUUUGUCUGCUCCAGAGUCACUACUGAUGGGCUGCAGCCUGGAUGUGGUUGAUCAGGUGUGGAAUGAUAGAAAGAUAAGAUCUUGUGAAGGGGAUUUAUGGUUGUUAAAUUAAUUGAAAUACUUCAGGAUCUACAAAUUCAUAUUCAGAGUCCAAACUAUUCGGAAAAUAUAUGAAAAUCAGUGAAAAAUUCUGGACUAUUUUCUUUGUGUGUUUGACUUUGGACAUGGUUGGGGCGCUUUUGUGAAGAACUAACAAGGAGAGAGUCAGCGACUUGAGGGGACUGACCCAGAGUCUCUAUCUCUGUACCUGUUGGACUGACUUUUAGCUUUAUUUCUGGUCCCAUGGAGAAGAAUAUUGAUCAUGUCUAAGAACAUACAACACUAAAUCAAUGCUUUGUUAGUUCUUAGUUAGUUAGUUUGUUAGUUCUAUAGUUUCCCUAUAGAAACAGGGAGUAUUAGGGUUGGAAGAGAGUAUCCUGGCCAGCACUCCUAAUUUGGCAGUUAGGGAAAUUCAGGUUCAGAGAGGUUAGAUGGUGGCCCAAAUCUUAGGGGCAAGUUAGCAGAGGAAUUGGGAUUCCAAAUAGGACUCUGGUCUCAUCUUGUCACGUACUUCCUGUUGCAUCAAUGAAAUGAACCUACUAGCUACUGUUCUUACUGUAUCCUGGAGGAACAGAAGCAGAGACUGGCAGAGACUAAAUGAAAGGAAGCGGUGAUGUGGUCUUCUACCCAGCAUGUCACACCCCCACUCUUUUCACACUUGCACACUACUUCGCGGUGGAUGCAUUGAAGCUUCAUUUUUGAUGCACAAGCUGUCGGGCCAUCUUAGAGGGAUGGUCCUUGGCGUGUCUUAAUUAAGAUCCCUUGACGAUAAUCAAGAUAAUGUUAUUAAUAACCAUAGCUAAUAUUUUUGGAAUAAUGAUGAGACAGCUGUCUAUAAAUUGUACUUUUUAAUCCUUCAUGACAGCCAUAGGAGGCGAACACUGUGAUGAUUCCAUGGACAGGUAAGAAACCGAGGCAUAGAGAGGUGAAUAAGCUACCCAAGGUCACCCAGAGGGUAAAUAAUGAAGCUGGGAUGUGAGUUCUGUUCUGUUGUCACUGGCUUUUACCAAGGGUUCAACAUCACUACUUGCACCCAAUCAGGAGCUAAAGGGAACCUGUAGGACACCUUGGGUCCCUAAUGCCUUGUGUAAUAAUGGCCACCCCAAACACAAAUGUGAACAGAAACAUACACCCCCAUAUGCAGUAUGGCGUUAAGGGGUCCUUUACCUGCUCUGCCGUCUCUUGCUUUCUUACUGUUUUUGAAAAUGAAAAAAUCUGCACUUUUAAGAAUAACUAAAUGUAAUGUGCAAUAAUUGAUUCACUGAUAGAUUAAACAAAAAAGCAAAAAGAAAACCAUAGUUUGAAGACAUUAUUAUUAAGACAAUUAGGGAGCUUUAAAUGUGGACUGUAUAUUACCUAACACUAUAUCCAUGUUAAAUUUCCUGAGCAGGUUGUUUUGUGAUUAUAUCCCAGAUCUUAGGAGUCAGCACUUAGGGGUAAAGGGCCAUGAUAUGGAAUUUGAUCAAGUGCUCUUACUGGUAAACCUAGCAGAAGGGUAUACAGGCAUUCACUGUAUUAUUAUUUCAACUUUUCUGUACAAUUGAAUUCUCUAUAAUGAAAAAUUGAAAAAAACUCCCACUUUUUAUAGUUACCACAAAAGUAAAACAUUUUUAUUGUGUAAAAUUAAAAACUUGGUAAAGAAAAAAUUGAAGACUAUAAAUAUAUAAUCCUACAACCGAAAGCACUGGUUUUAAAAAAUCUAAACUGCUGUGCACAGAUAGAAAUAGACACUACAUCGUCAUCCUGUAAUACAUUGUGGACAUGUGCAUAUGUGACUCAAACAAAAGUUUCAUAAAAUUAUAGCUGUCUUUGCUAUGCUCACUGCCUUUUAUACGUCCGUCCAAUUUCUUUUUUCUUUUCGCCGCGCUACGCGGCAUGCAGGAUCUUAGUUCCCUGACCAGGGAUCGAACCGGUGCCCCCUGCAGUGGAAACGCGGAGUCCUAACCACUGGACCGCGAGGAAAUUCCCUCCAUUCAGUUUCUUAAAAAAAUGCUUGCUUGAUGUACAAACCCGCUAGGCACCGAUAGUUUAAAACACAUGACCUAGAAUAAGCUGCUGUUAGGCGAUAGGAGUCCUGGACCCAGGGUCGCCCUCCACAAUCUUCCACUCCCGGUUCUAUUAUUUGAGGUCUUCCUGGGCAUCCCAGGAUAAUACAGGACAGAAAACAGUCUGCUUUGCAAGAUCUUGGGGUAUUUUCCUGACUUCAUGAUGCCCAGAGGCAGUGCAUCUCCAGGUGGGCUUGGCUGCCCUCCAGUGUACCAACCUUCACAAAACCUCACGGAAACAAAGUCCCCUCCGGAUGGCAACGUCUUCCCUACCCUCCACUUCCUGCCAGUCUCACCCAAACAACCCACAUCUCUUUAUAGGUCGAUGGCACCUUGGCAGGAGACACCAGGGAAAUGAGCCGGCAUAAUCCAUUCUUCAGGUCAGAGGUGUUUGCGGCCAUGGAUCGAAUUUGGUGAUUUCCACGGGACUUGGAGAGUCAGAACUUGAAAGCUGGACCAGGGUGUUUCUCAUUUCUUAGUGUCCUGGUACUGCUCAGAGCUAUACAAAUCCUUGAAAUAUCCAGCAUCAAAAGAAGUGGACCUUGAAGCCUUCUGGUUAUGGUGACCUGAAGAAGUGGGCAAAUCCUCUUGGCCAAAAGCAGGUGUGAAACUGGACAGAUUGAUCAGAUAAGCCAUUUCAGGUCCCAGCUGCACGAUCCAUGUUUCAAAUUCCCCUUUCUUCUUCCUCCUUGCCUUCCCCCUUCUCUCUCCCUCUAACCGAACCCCUUCCUUUGACAAGUAUUUAUUGAGAGCCAGGCCAACCUGGAUGGGAAAACCAUUAAAACAUGAUCACACAAGUAAAUGUAUUAUGAACAACUGUGAUAACAGCUACGAAGGAAAACUACUUCUGAUACCCUUGAGGACCCCAGUCGAUCUCCUACUUCACAAAGAACCUGUGUUCAAGUGACAUCCUGACUUCUCAGGGAUGACUUGCUGGGAAGCCGAAGUUCUCGGGGGGCCUCUGUCAGUGAACUUCGGAGGACGCAUGUCGUGGGUAAGAGGAAACUUUGGAGAUAGACUGUUGCGCCUAUUAGCUUUGUGACCUUGGCUAAGCUUGUCCUCCUCAUCUGGGAUAAGCCUAAACUGGGAUAGUAUCAUCCACCUAAUAGAACUGUGGAGAGGAGAAAAUGAGGUAAUUCAGGGAAGUGCUCAGACAAGCGCCUAGAGUGUAGUCAGCACCCAGUAAAUGCUGGGUGGACUGGAAGUGUCUUAGAGCACAUGACCAAGGAGUGGCGUGGCAGUGGGGUGGCAGGCAGGGGACAACUUAGACAACAGCAGUGGCACUGACUUUCUCAGCAGUGCCCCUGUGAUAAGACUCUGCCUACAGACAGUGAACCAGGUGGAAUAUUCAGAGGCAGGGAGCGUGAUGGGCCCAGAGCCAAGGGAGGAAAGGCCAUCGAGAUGCUGCCGGCCAUGCUGGGCUGGGCUACGUGCUUGAAGAGCGUCGACAGGGCUUUGCACUUGGUAGGAGAUGAGGACAGAGUUAGCCUGCAGAAAGCCAGCAGUGAGGUGGUGAGACCAUGGGGGGUGAACACCUCCUGCCAGAGGAAAAUCUGGUCAAAGAAUGGUGGUCAGUAGCUUAAGGGGACAGUGGCAAUCGGGAUGGAGACAGGAGGACACAUUUCAGAUGGAGAUAGUAGGUAAUAGGAGGGUCUGUGGAGUUUGGAGACCAGGAGGUCGCCGUCAGCAUGGUUUUGCUGGUGAUACUCUAUCAGGGUUGCUGCCUGGGGUAUGUGUCGGCGGAACGGUUAGGAGUCAUUACACUGACCAUGGAGACGAAUUGAAGUUCAAGGGCGGGAGGAGGCAGCAAGACCGGGAGAACCUGGAGGGGCCAAAGUGGCCAGCAGACUUAAAGAGCAGGAGAGAGAAAGCUUUAGAGAGCUGCGGGCGGAGGGCGCUGAGGCUUUCUCAGCACAGGAGGGGGCCCUGGAGGGAGUGAGGAUUCAACCAGCUGUGUGGCCAGCACGAUGCCCACCAUGCUAGGUGUUCAGUAAGGUUGACAGUGCAAUGAAGAACCUCAGACGGGCUAGGGAACGUGCAUCUUGUUAUUCCCAUUUUGCAGAUGAUCAGAGACGCUUAGUGUUUUACGGAAGGUCACACAGCCAGACAGUGGGAGGGCCAAGACUCAAACUUGGGGCUCCAGGGUCCUGGCCUGGGACUCUUUCCUUUCAGCACAAUGCUGCCCUCUUAGGAUUUGUUGUCUGGCCCCCUGACUCAGGGCCAACCUCCUGUCCCCCUGACAGACUAUGGGAAGGCAGGAGGGUGCUGUGCAAAGGAAUUUUCAGUUCAGAUCCUACUUUUCCACUUGUAAGUUGUGUGGUCUGGGCAAACGUUUUACCUCUUUGAACCUCGUUGUCUCCUCUGUCCAGUGGGGGUGAUUCAGCCUUUACCCAGCUGUAUCUGGGCCAAUCAGCUAGAAUGUAAGCUCCGUGAGGGCCGGGCCUUUUGUCUGCUUUUUUCACUACUGGAUGUCCAGCACUGGCGCCUAGAACAGGGCCUUGAAGGAUGCAGUGCCCCAUACUUAAGGCUGUUAUUCCCAAAUAUGACCACAAGAUGGCAGCAAAGGAGAGCGGGUCCCAAGACAAGGCUGUCACAGUUCUCAGGACUCCUACACACUUCCAGACACCAGGUCUCCCUGCAUUAGGACAUGGAGGGCUCUCAUUGCUUCCUGAGCUUCCCUGACUGUGGGCCGUGCAGAUCCCUAUUACUUAGCGCCUUUGAAGUGGCCCGCUGCUGCUCAGGUGUGAAGGGACAGCACAUUCCAUGGGAUGCUUUCCGACUGUGGUCUAGCAGAGCUGUGUAAACCACAAAGAAGGGCACUGGAUUGGAUCUUGAGUCUUAAAUGGUGCCCCCUGGGGCAUUGGGGUGGGGGAUGAGGAAUCAGAGUGGGGUGUGGCUUAGAUGCCUGGAUUGGGAAUGUCUAAAGGUAUCAUCACCUAAACAACAGUUGAUGAGGAAUCUUUACACCGGCAUCUCAUUUUGAGACUGGUGUUACGGUUAUGGCUGGCGCCUUCAGGUUAUAUCUCAAAUAUUUCCUUCUUAGAGAUGUUUCCCCUCAUUGAAAGUAGCCCCCACUUUGUAUCACACUUUUUCAAAGCACUUACCGCCAUCAGAAGUAAUUUUGUCUCUAUUUUGUAAGUUGCUUUUGUGUGCCUGUGGUUCUCCACUCACCAGGAUGUUUAGGACAGUGUCAGAGGGGAUUCUAGAAGUGGAGCUAUGCCUGGCAUACAGGCGAGCGCUCAGACAAGAACUGAUGAACGUGGAACAAAUUGCACCCCCUGUGUAGCUGCCCCUCUCAUGACAUCCUGAACUUUUCCUAUGAUGCAUGGAUCACACAGUUUUUGGGGGAUUUGUCUCUUGUUCUGCUCCCCAGGGGUUGCAAGCUCAAGGAGGGAAGGACCACAUCCCACAUUCAGUGCCCUGUCCCUGGUGUCUUGCACAGUCCCUGGCACCUGAGGUGACCAGAAAACAUUUAGUGGUGGCUUUCUACCCAGGAUCACAUUGAAUUGACACGCCAGCCUCGUGAGGGACAGAUACCUACGCCCUUUCUACGUGUCGGGGAGACCGAGGCUCAGAGAGAUGAAAUAACUGUCCCACCAGGCAUUGCAGCUUAGAAGAGGUGGAGGCAGCCUUUGAACUUGGAACUCUACUACCUCCGAAUGCAGACAUGACCUGAGAAGGAGAAUUUUGACUUCUGCUGCUCGUUCUCUCUCUCUUCUUAGUUCUUUUUACUGAGUCUCUUAACCUCACCUCAAUCCUCUUAUCUGCAAUCGGCUUCCAGAGAGGAUUCAGAUCACCUUGUCUCGCAGGCAGCUGCAUCAAGAUCCCCACAGUCCCUGUAACUGGUGGUUAUACGGGUACUUGAAAUAGCCUCCCUCUGCUGCCUGCUCUCUCUCCGUCUGCUUGUUCUGGGCUCUGCAGAAGUGCUCAGCAGUGCCGGUGCCCAGUUUCUGCAGGGCUGGAUUCUGCCGUACAUGCUGUAAAAAGGCGAGGGCUCUUCCCCAGGCUUUCCUGUUCCCUGCUGAUCACCCGCCUCCUCUCCUCCAGGAGCUUAGCCUUGGGUGGCAAAUCCCGGCCUCCCUUCCUGCACUGGAUUUGAGGCUAAUGGCAUUUCCUCUGCCGGCUUUGGAGGUAUGCCCGGCGGCCCCCAUGCUGCUCUCUGCAGCCUGCCUGCUCUGCCCUCACUGCAACAGACGGAGAAAAUAAAUGAAAAUGAGGUGAGUGGGGAGGAAACCUAGUGAGCGGGAGAGGGACUGGAAUCCAAGACGGAGGCUUGAGCUAAAUGGAGCUGUGGGAUCUUUAAGCCACAAAGAAGACCAACAGCAAAGCAAAGGGUAACGGACCAGGGGCCAUCUUUGAAAUCCAAGAUUUUAUCUAAAGGCAGUGGCGGCUGUGGGUUCUGAAGGAGUGAAACGGAGCAGGACCCUGUGGGGCUCCUGGGAAAUAGGCUUCACUCAGCCUCCACGACCUUCCCUGAGUUCCAACUAGCAGGUUCAAACCUUGUAAUCAGGGAAGGGAGGGGAUGCAGAGACAAGGGAGGAACAGUCAAGAAACAAUAGUGCAGCCUUGGGGCAGGGUCCUGGUUCCCCCUCAAGGAUACACACAACAACACCUUUGAGCUGUUUUGCAGAUACUGAAACCCUCACCAGGUGGGAGAAGUUAACUGUGUGCUGCCCACAAGCACGCAGACCCCAGACUGGGUGGAACCGGAAGGUUGAUGAUGCCGACUCCCACUUACCUCCCCACCAACCAAUCAGAAGAGUGUCCACGAGCUGAUCACGCCCUCUUUGAACCAUUACCGUAAAACUUCUCACUACCCCCUCCAGGUCCCGACGCACAGUUUUGAGGGCAUUAGCCCACUGUGGCCGCCUUUUCCUGGCAAAGCUGUUAGGGGAAGAACACUGACUGAAACCACCCGCCCUGGCCAGGCACCACAGUAACCACUUGCAUGAGUUAUCUUACAAUAGGAGGUCCUGGUAAGGAACAUGGAACUAACAAGCCACCACCAACCAGAAGAAUUCGGGAAAAGUCAAAAGGAGACACCAGUCCACAUGUACUACCAACCUCCCAGCAUCCUCCUCGCUGGAAUCCAUCUUGGGUGAGCAAUGCACGUGCCACCAGAAAGGACCCUCAAUCAGAAUGGUUGGCCAGAGACAACCCGUAAACUCACCCGGUCACCAUAAAACCCGAGACUGUGAGCCACGUGGCAGAGCCGUCCUCCUGGCAUCCCUCACCCUCCUGCUCUACCCCCAGGCGCCCCUUCCCAAUAAAGUCUCUUGCUCUGUCAGC